ACCUGGGUUAGCUCAGCUGGUGAAGCAUGAGACUCUCCAUCUCAGGGCUGUUGCUUCGAGCCCCACAUUGGGCA